GCGGGAAUAGCUCAGUUGGUAGAGCACGACCUUGCCAAGGUCGGGGUCGCGAGUUCGAGUCUCGUUUCCCUCU
rnacentral:tRNA from 1 species